CGGCCCCGCAGCUGUCUUCCAUGGGCGUCGUCGGCUCGUCACUCCUCAUUCUCUCCGCGGCGUCUGCGUUCCAGGGAGAAACCGUAUUAUUUGGAAUGGCAAAAAAUUGGAAACAUGGAACGCCUGCCGGCUGGAGAAUGCAGAGUAAACAAUGGGUGUUCACACCAGGGAAUACUGUGCAGCCAUUCAAAGGAUGGAAUGGAAUUCUGCUAGAAGACCUAAAGCGAUUUCUGUUGGAACUCUUCAGGGAGAAAAGCUAGAUGAAGAAAAGUAUAUAUAAAGGAUAUCAUUAUUAUUAAAUAAUAUAUAGAUCUGUGUCAGGUAUAUAAAGAUUUUAUGUAUAUCUGAAGAAAAAUAAGGAAGGAGAUACACUGUUGGUUAAGGGACGGUUGAGGGUGUGGCAGCUAGUGUGAAAGGAGAAAGGGAAGCAGUCAACACAAAAGAGAAAUAAGGGACUAGGAAAGCAUGUGCAUCUGUGGACACAUUUAGGUAGAUUAUGUAUACCACAGCAUCUACACAUAUGUGGGGAGCAAGAUGGAGUCACUCAUGUGAGGCAAGGAUGUAAUGAAUCAGGAAAGCAGACAAGGGUGAAGAGCUGAGAACAGAUACUGCUAGAACUGUUAACAGCCUGGGGGUACCCAGAACUGAUAACCAGCAAAGCCAAGAGAGCCUGGAAGAACUGAGAAUUGAUAAUCAUUAGACCCAGAAGAAGUCUGAAAGGGCUAGACUGAUCAAACUCCUUUAAAAUGGGAAGAUUUUCAUAGCAAACCCCCGGAUUCUCUAGACGCUGACCCUUCCAUGUCUCACUGCAUCAGGCAACUGCCACCGAAGGCUCUGCCUGUUUCAUCUCCGAAAGUGACAGAGAUCCUUCACUGCUUGAACACAGUAAGCAGGAAGCUCAGAGUGGAUCCACACUGGUCAAGGCCUCAUCGCAACUGUGUGCUCAUGUACGGACUUUGCUUUCAUUCAUUAACUUACCCCUUACUGUAUCUUUUUUGUUUUGUGUGUCAUGUACGACACCAAGUUAAAUGCGUGUUGGAAUGUCUUUGAAUUUGGAAUUCUGAAUCUGCUUUACAAUUAUGUUAACCUUGCUUUAUGAUUAAAUAAAUAAAGCUAGCAUUGUGGGAAGA